AUUGAACGCUGGCGGCGUGCCUAAUACAUACAAGUCGAGCGAACAGACGAGGAGCUUGCUCCUUUGACGUUAGCGGCGGACGGGUGAGUAACACGUGGGUAACCUACCUAUAAGACUGGGAUAACUUCGGGAAACCGGAGCUAAUACCGGAUAAUAUUUCGAACCGCAUGGUUCGAUAGUGAAAGAUGGCUCUGCUAUCACUUAUAGAUGGACCUGCGCCGUAUUAGCUAGUUGGUAAGGUAACGGCUUACCAAGGCAACGAUACGUAGCCGACCUGAGAGGGUGAUCGGCCACACUGGAACUGAGACACGGUCCAGACUCCUACGGGAGGCAGCAGUAGGGAAUCUUCCGCAAUGGGCGAAAGCCUGACGGAGCAACGCCGCGUGAGUGAUGAAGGUCUUCGGAUCGUAAAACUCUGUUAUUAGGGAAGAACAAACGUGUAAGUAACUGUGCACGUCUUGACGGUACCUAAUCAGAAAGCCACGGCUAACUCUGUGCCAGCCGCCGCAGUAA
rnacentral:rRNA from 1 species